UACGUAGGGGGCGAGCGUUGUCCGGAGUUACUGGGCGUAAAGCGCUCGCAGGCGGCUCGAUGCGUCGUGCGUGAAACACCCCGGCUCAACUGGGGAGGGUCGUGCGAUACGGUCGGGCUGGAGGCCAGUAGGGGGAUGCGGAAUUCCGGGUGUAGUGGUGGAAUGCGUAGAGAUCCGGAGGAACACCAGCGGCGAAGGCGGCAUCCUGGACUGGUACUGACGCUCAUGAGCGAAAGCGUGGGGAGCGAUCCGG
rnacentral:rRNA from 1 species